UGUAUGUCUGGAUGUUGUAUUCAGAUCAUAGUGUUAAUACCUGUACUUUCACUUUAAGAGUGUCGCAGGCUUUGUGGCGUCAUUCACGCGCUUCUUUCAGUUUGCGCCAGACUAGCUGAGAGGAGGAGCUUGAGACCUGUAUAUUGUGUGGAGGAGACUGCAUGUGACAGAGCCUUAUAUUUUUGUUGUUUAUUUGUACAGUCUGCACCAGGCUCGCUGAGAGGAAACAAAUUUGCUGUUUCGCCUUUAUUAAAAGA